GGGGUCGUAGCUCAACUGGGAGAGCAACAGCUUUGCAAGCUGAAGGUUGAGGGUUCAAGUCCCUUCGAUUCCACCA
rnacentral:tRNA from 1 species